UACGAAGGGGGCUAGCGUUGCUCGGAAUCACUGGGCGUAAAGGGCGCGUAGGCGGGUCUUUAAGUCAGGGGUGAAAUCCUGGAGCUCAACUCCAGAACUGCCUUUGAUACUGAAGAUCUUGAGUUCGGGAGAGGUGAGUGGAACUGCGAGUGUAGAGGUGAAAUUCGUAGAUAUUCGCAAGAACACCAGUCGCGAAGGCGGCCCACUGGCCCGAUACUGACGCUGAGGCACGAAAGCGUGGGGAGCAAACAGG
rnacentral:rRNA from 1 species